rnacentral:rRNA from 1 species
AUUGAACGCUGGCGGCAUGCUUUACACAUGCAAGUCGAACGGCAGCGCGGGCUUCGGCCUGGCGGCGAGUGGCGAACGGGUGAGUAAUGCAUCGGAACGUGCCCAGUAGUGGGGGAUAGCCCGGCGAAAGCCGGAUUAAUACCGCAUACGACCUGAGGGUGAAAGCGGGGGACCGAAAGGCCUCGCGCUAUUGGAGCGGCCGAUGUCGGAUUAGCUAGUUGGUGGGGUAAAGGCUUACCAAGGCGACGAUCCGUAGCUGGUCUGAGAGGACGACCAGCCACACUGGGACUGAGACACGGCCCAGACUCCUACGGGAGGCAGCAGUGGGGAAUUUUGGACAAUGGGGGCAACCCUGAUCCAGCCAUGCCGCGUGCGGGAAGAAGGCCUUCGGGUUGUAAACCGCUUUUGUUCGGGAAGAAAUCCUCUGGGCUAAUACCCCGGGGGGAUGACGGUAUCGGAAGAAUAAGCACCGGCUAACUACGUG